GUCACUUUCGUCAGUUAUACUUUUUCUGAAUUCAACAUGAAGGUCUUGAUUGUUAUUUCUAUUAUAAUAAUGAUAACUUCAGUUAUCUUGGCUAAUGACAUCAAAAAUCUUCAAAUUAAAGAAGAUGGAAAAUCUCUUGGUUCACAAACAAGAGGUAGAAUUGACCAGAAUCGCAAUAAACAAGGAACUGUAUUUGGACAUGGAAAAAUAAAUUCCAAAAUCUCACAGCCUGAACGUCUAGGAAAUAAAGAGAAGGAAGGUAAUCAGCAAGAAAAGAAAGACGGAUCUAUCAGUACUGUGAUACCACAAGUCCGUUUUGGUAGUGGAUUUGCUGGCUAAGUAUUUAGAAAAAUAAAAUGUUAAUUUUUAUUUCUUAAAAACGUUUAAAUUCAGCAUAAUUGUGAAUAUUCUACUUUAUCGAUGAACUAUAUGCUUAUAUUUUCCUUAAAAAGGAACAGUGUAAUAUAAAUUUAGUAUUUCA
rnacentral:lncRNA from 1 species